GGUGAAAUUUCAUCAUGACCUGACAUUGACCUCAAAUUGAAGGUCUUGAACUACUGAUCAUCUUUGCAGUUUAUAGUAGGUUGAUAUCUGUUACCUUUAAAAAGAUAUACACACAAUACUAUACUUUUAAGAAUCAUCCCGUCGUAACUUUUGAACAGACAGUCGGACUCUUUUGAGCUCAGUGUAUAAAAUGUAGAGCUCGUCGAGAGGAACAUUUUAUACGCUGUAAGUAUGCAGCAAACUCUUAUCGUUUUCUUAAUAUGAAAGCUUGAAAUUGCAGCGUAAUUUUUUUUGCACUCGGUGACCUUUGACCUUGGGUGCAAAUUAAAGGUCACAUGAACUUAAGAUUAUUGGUGUAGGUCCCAAGUCUUUACGACUUCCGGUUCUCGAAGAUACAAUUUUUCAAAAAUUGUGUAUAUUUUUUCAAGGGAAAUAACUCCUUAUAAGGGUUAACAACAAAAUGAUUGUAUAUGUUCAUUAACAUUGCCAUCUGUUCUUGUACAUGUUGCCGUUUUCAAAUCGAUUCUAUCUUGAAUACUUUUUGAGAAAAAUGUAAAAGAAAGAAAUUGCUUCAAGGGGACAUAACUCUCAUAGGGAAUGAUGAAAUCCUUAGCAGCCUCAUAUGGUAACACAUCAUGAUGAGAUCUAACUAUUGUCCAAAUAAGGUCAUGAUAUCUUUCAAAACAACGAGGGGGGGCCAUGUCGAAAAAAAAUCAAUAAAAGGGAGAUAACUUCUAAAGGGGAUGAUGAAAUCCUACACAGCCUCAUCUGGUAAUACUUCAUGAUGAGGUCUACCGAUGGUCCAUAUUUGGUCUUGAUAACUCAAUAGAAACAAGGGGAGGCCAUGUCAAACAAAUGCUGGAUGAAAAAAAAAAAAAAAAAAAAAAAAAAAAAAAAAAAACUAGUAUCUCAAUUGUUUGUAAAACAAUUGAAAGGUCUUUCCUGUAAAAGUGAUGUUUUCGUAAUGUACUUUGUACGACCUUUCGUUUGAUAUACGACAAGCAUACCUUCUGAAACUUUUUCGCUUUUUUACACUUAAUGACCUCAUCCGCCUACAUUUUUGAGAUCGGAAUUAUGAUAUAUGUAACAUAGAGUAGAUGAGCUUUCAUUUGAUAUGCGACAACGCCAUGUUCUAGAAAGUUUGAUUUUUGCACUUAAUAACCCUAUCCAACUAAUUUUUGGAGGUCGGGAAUUUGAUAUUUCAAAUGUACACAUCAUGACCUUUCAUUUGAUAUACAACAACCCUAUCUUAAAAGAAAAUUUAUUUUUUGCACUCAAUGACCCCAUCCAACCCAUUUUUGGGAGACGUCAAUUUGAAAUUUGAAAUGUACGCUUUAUGUUCUUUCAUUUGAUAUGCGACAACCUUACCAUCUGAGAAAUUUGAAAUGUUUGCACUAAAUGACCCCACCCGUCCCCCUGGGAUGAAAAGGGGGUUUAAAAUUUUCAUUUUUAAGUAGAGUUUAUUGAGACCUUCAAUUUGAUAUAUCAGAUGACCCCAUUUGACAAAGUGCAAAUAAUGAUGCAAUAUCAACUAUAUAAAUAGAAGUUUAUGAAACUUACAAAGUCAAUGCAAAAACUUGAAAAUUUCAAAAUUGAAUUUUUUGGCGUUUUUUUCCAUGGAAUGUUUUUGGUAUUUGGUCAAACAUAUAACUAUGUUAACCUCUUCAAUUUCUAAACAUUUUAAGUGGUAUAAGCUCUUGUUGAUUCAGAAAAUACAUGCCUCCGCUCGCAAAACUUCAAACUGCAUUAUCUCUAAAACGACAAUAGAUAUCUCAAAUCUGUUAAAUGAUAAAUGAUCUACAGUUGAAGGGACAACAUUAUAGAAAAGAAUUGGGACAAUUUCAAAGUUCACCAAAGGUCACAAUUAAUCAUCAAAUAUAUGAUGCAAUACCAAAACUUAAGAACCGGAAGUCGUAGAGACAUGGGACUAUCACCAUUCAACUCAGGACCACUUGACCUUUCAAAUAUCACAAGGUCAAGGUCAUAGUAUAAUGUGAAGGUCAAGGUGAAAUUUCAUCAUGACCUGACAUUGACCUCAAAUUGAAGGUCUUGAAUUACUGAUCAUCUUUGCAGUUUAUAGUAGGUUGAUAUCUGUUACCUUUAAAAAGAUAUACACACAAUACUAUACUUUUAAGAAUCAUCCCGUUGUAACUUUUGAACAGACAGUCGGACACUUUUGAGCUCAGUGUAUAAAAUGUAGAGCUCGUCGAGAGGAACAUUUAUAACGCUGUAAGUAUGCAGCAAAGUCUUAUCGUUUUCUUAAUAUGAAAGCUUGAAAUUGCAGCGUAAUUUUUUUUUGCACUCGGUGACCUUUGACCUUGGGUGCAAAUUAAAGGUCACAUGAACUUAAGAUUAUUGGUGAAGGUCCCAAGUCUUCUACGACUUCCGGUUCUCGAAAUACAAUUUUUUCAAAAAUUAUGUAUAAUUUUUCAAGGGAAAUAACUCCUUAUAAGGGUUAAUAACAAAAUGAUUGUAUAUGUUCAUUAACAUUGCCAUCUGUUCCUGUACAUGUUGCCGUUUUCAAAUCGAUUCUAUCUCUUAUACUUUUUGAGAAAAAUGCAAAGAAAGAAAUUGCUUCAAGGGGAUAUAACUCUCAUAGGGAUGAUGAAAUCCUAUUCAGCCUCAUAUGGUAAUACAUCAUGAUGAGAUCUACUAUUGUCCAAAUAAAGUCAUGAUAUCUUUUAAAACAACGAGGGGGGACCAUGUUGAAAAAAAUCAAUAAAAGGGAGAUAACUUCUAAAGGGGAUGAUGAAAUCCUUACAAACAGGGUCAUCUGGUAAUACAGUUCAUGAUGAGGUCUAGCGAUGGUCCAUAUUUGGUCUUAAUAACUUCAACAGAAACAAGGGGAGGG
rnacentral:lncRNA from 1 species